rnacentral:rRNA from 1 species
UAAGGAAUAUUGGUCAAUGGACGAAAGUCUGAACCAGCCAUGCCGCGUGGAGGAUGAAGGUCCUCUGGAUUGUAAACUUCUUUUAUAUGGGACGAAAAAAGGCUUUUCUAAGUCGUCUGACGGUACCAUAUGAAUAAGCACCGGCUAACUCCGUGCCAGCAGCCGCGGUAAUACGGAGGGUGCAAGCGUUAUCCGGAUUCACUGGGUUUAAAGGGUGCGUAGGUGGGUUGGUAAGUCAGUGGUGAAAUCCCCGAGCUUAACUUGGGAACUGCCAUUGAUACUAUCAGUCUUGAAUACCGUGGAGGUCAGCGGAAUAUGUCAUGUAGCGGUGAAAUGCUUAGAUAUGACAUAGAACACCAAUUGCGAAGGCAGCUGGCUACUCGAAUAUUGACACUGAGGCAC